AGCUCCAAUAGUGUAUAUUAAAGUUGCUGCGGUUAAAAAGCUCGUAGUUGGAUUUCGGAGUUGUUAUCUUAGGCUUUUAGCCCUAAAAAGCUAGGGGUCGAGGGUAGCAGUAGUCUUCAUCAUAGUCCACUGGGAUACUCUCUCAGUGUGUGCUGGGUGUUGACCUCCUUUUUUUCCGGCACUGGUGAUCAGCAAUGGUCAUCGGUUCGGAUAGUUUACUUUGAAAAAAUUAGAGUGUUCAAAGCAGGCAUAAUUGGCAUCAUGAAUACAUUAGCAUGGGAUAAUAGAAUAUGACAGUGGUCUUAUUUUGUUGGUUUCUAAGGCCAAAGUAAUGACUAAUAGGGAUAGUUGGGGCCGCUCGUAUUGAGUUGUCAGAGGUGAAAUUCUAGGAUUGACUCAAGACGAACUAAUGCGAAAGCAUUCGGCAAGGAUGUUUUCA
rnacentral:rRNA from 1 species